UAGAGCAAAUCUCAAAAAAGCAUUCUCAGUUCGGAUUGAGGGCUGCAACCCGCCCUCAUGAAGUCGGAGUUGCUAGUAAUCCCGAAUCAGAAUGUCGGGGUGAAUGCGUUCCCGGGUCUUGUACACACCGCCCGUCACGCCAUGGGAGUCGGGGGUACCCGAAGUCGGUGGGCUAACCGCAAGGAGGCAACCGCCUAAGGUAAAACCGAUGACUGGGGUGAAGUCGUAACAAGGUACC
rnacentral:rRNA from 1 species